GACGAACGCUGGCGGCGUGCUUAACACAUGCAAGUCGAGCGGUAAGGCCCUUUCGGGGGUACACGAGCGGCGAACGGGUGAGUAACACGUGGGUGACCUGCCCUCAGCUCUGGGAUAAGCCUGGGAAAACCGGGUCUAAUACUGGAUAUGACUCCAUGACGCAUGUUGUGGGUGAAAGCCUUGUGCGGCUGAGGAUGGGCCCG
rnacentral:rRNA from 1 species